rnacentral:rRNA from 1 species
AUGGACCUACGGGGCGCAGCAGUGGGGAAUAUUGCACAAUGGGGGAAACCCUGAUGCAGCGACGCCGCGUGAGUGAAGAAGUAUUUCGGUAUGUAAAGCUCUAUCAGCAGGAAAGAUAAUGACGGUACCUGACUAAGAAGCCCCGGCUAACUACGUGCCGGCAGCCGCGGUAAUACGUAGGGGGCAAGCGUUAUCCGGAUUUACUGGGUGUAAAGGGAGCGUAGACGGCAGCGCAAGUCUGGAGUGAAAUGCCGGGGCUCAACCCCGGAACUGCUUUGGAAACUGUGCGGCUCGAGUGCGGGAGG